GUGGAUUUCUGUCAAGGCGGCCGGUCCGCACUAUGUGCGUGCAUCUGGUUCGGUUUUGGCAUCCUCUUGGGGAACGUUUCUGUGCUUGAUUGCAUGGGGCGGAAUUCAAGACUUUUACUUUGAGGAAAUUAGAGUGUUCACGGCAAGCUAUCGCUUUGAAUACAUUAGCAUGGAAUAAUAAUAUAGGGCUUAAGUUCUAUUUUGUUGGUUUCUAGGACAUAAGCAAUGAUUAAUAGGGACAAUCGGGGGCAUUCGUAUUAACGCGUCAGAGGUGGAAUUCUUAGAUUGCGUUACGACGAACUACUGCGAAAGCAUUU
rnacentral:rRNA from 1 species